AACGUAGGAGACAAACGUUAUCCGGAGUUACUGGGCGUAAAGGGCGUGUAGGUGGUUUCGUAAGUCUGGCGUGAAAUUUUUCGGCUUAACCGGGAAAGGUCGUCGGAUACUGCGGGACUGGAGGACGGUAGAGGCGUGUGGAAUUCCGGGUGUAGUGGUGAAAUGCGUAGAGAUCCGGAGGAACACCAGUGGCGAAGGCGACACGCUGGGCCGUACCUGACACUGAUGGACGAAAGCUAGGGGAGCGAAUGGG
rnacentral:rRNA from 1 species